AUUGAACGCUGGCGGCAUGCCUUACACAUGCAAGUCGAACGGCAGCACGGGAGCAAUCCUGGUGGCGAGUGGCGAACGGGUGAGUAAAGUAUCGGAACGUGCCCAGUCGUGGGGGAUAACGUAGCGAAAGUUACGCUAAUACCGCAUACGAUCUAUGGAUGAAAGCGGGGGAUCGCAAGACCUCGCGCGAUUGGAGCGGCCGAUAUCAGAUUAGGUAGUUGGUGGGGUAAAGGCUCACCAAGCCGACGAUCUGUAGCUGGUCUGAGAGGACGACCAGCCACACUGGGACUGAGACACGGCCCAGACUCCUACGGGAGGCAGCAGUGGGAAAUUUUGGACAAUGGGCGCAAGCCUGAUCCAGCCAUGCCGCGUGCAGGAUGAAGGCCUUCGGGUUGUAAACCGCUUUUGUCAGGGAAGAAAAGGCUCCUUCUAAUAUAGGGGGCUCAUGACGGUACCUGAAGAAUAAGCACCGGCUAACUACGUGCCAGCCGCCGCAGUAA
rnacentral:rRNA from 1 species